rnacentral:tRNA from 1 species
GUUUGAAUAGUUUAUAAAAAAUACUAGUUUGUGGAAUUAGUGAAGUAGUUCAGUACUUUAAACA